UUGGAGGGCAAGUCUGGUGCCAGCAGCCGCGGUAAUUCCAGCUCCAAUAGCGUAUAUUAAAGUUGUUGCAGUUAAAAAGCUCGUAGUUGAAUUUCGGGGUCAGUAGAUUGGUCAUGCCACUGGUAUGUACUGGUCUCACUGAUUCCUCCUUCCUGAUGAGCCGUAAUGCCAUUAAUUUGGUGUUGCGAGGAAUCUGGACUGUUACUUUGAAAAAAUUAGAGUGUUUAAGGCAGGCUAACGCUUGAAUACAUUAGCAUGGAAUAAUGAAAUAGGACGUUCGAUCUUAUUUUGUUGGUUUCUAAGAUUGACGUAAUGAUUAAUAGGGAUAGUUGGGGGCAUUAGUAUUCAAUUGUCAGAGGUGAAAUUCUUGGAUUUAUUGAAGACUAACUACUGCGAAAGCAUUUGCCAAGGAUGUUUUCAUUAAUCAAGAACGAAAGUUAGGGGAUCGAAGACGAUCAGAUACCGUCGUAGUCUUAACCAUAAACUAUGCCGACUAGGGAUCGGAUGAUGUUAAUUUUUUAAUGACUCAUUCGGCGCCUUACGGGAAAC
rnacentral:rRNA from 1 species